rnacentral:rRNA from 1 species
UGGGGAAUAUUGCCCAAUGGGCGCAAGCCUGAUGCAGCCAUGCCGCGUGUGUGAAGAAGGCCUUCGGGUUGUAAAGCACUUUAAGCGAGGAGGAAGGGAAGUGUGUUAAUAUCACAUUGCAUUGACGUUCCUCGCAGAAGAAGCACCGGCUAACUCCGUGCCAGCAGCCGCGGUAAUACGGAGGGUGCAAGCGUUAAUCGGAAUUACUGGGCGUAAAGCGCACGCAGGCGGUUUGUUAAGUCAGAGGUGAAAUCCCCGCGCUUAACGUGGGAACUGCAUUUGAAACUGGCAAGCUAGAGUCUUGUAGAGGGGGGUAGAAUUCCAGGUGUAGCGGUGAAAUGCGUAGAGAUCUGGAGGAAUACCGGUGGCGAAGGCGGCCCCCUGGACAAAGACUGACGCUCAGGUGCGAAAGCGUGGGGAGCAAACA